rnacentral:lncRNA from 1 species
GAUUUAACAGCGGCGCUCGGCAAGGAGGCGUUGCUUUUCUCUGAACUCCUCUGAGUUCUGCUCACCAUGGAGACCGACCACUUAUUCCAGCUCACGGGUGUCAAAUCGCACGUUAAUCCCCGAAUCCGCGAGCUGCAAAUUGCAGGGUAACACAGGAGAAGCCAUUUGGUCCUUUCAUUGUUUUCAGAAAGAGGCAAAGACCGUGUUUAUCAGAGAUGCUGGAUGGAAUCUGAUCAUUCCUCGCUUCUUCUCCCACUUUUUACAGCCCAGAGUCCAGGUCUCUGUUUCUCCCCCACAUUUAUUUGGCUCUAGAAUCUCUGGAAAGACGCCUUCCCCGUUGACUCCCAGAUGA